CGGAGAUGGUAAGUAGAUUGUUGUUUUGCUCUGGAUUUGAUGGACUUUGUUUGAGUGUCCCCGUUCUCUGUGCGCAGACGCCGAGGGCUCCACGUCCGAUCAGAGCCGAAAGUUCACCAAAUGUAGCACCUGCAAGUACGGGGCGGAGUGUGACGAGGACUCAGAAGACGUCUGGUGCAUCUGUAACAUCGACUGCAGCGGCCACAAUGAGAACCCGGUGUGUGCCACAGACGGACACUCGUACUCCAACCCCUGCCUGGUCCGAGAGGCGUCCUGCAUGAAACAGGAGCAGAUCAACGUCCGCCACCUGGGCGUCUGUGCAGCUGACAAGGACAAGAUGGGCAAGAAAGACGACAACAGUCCCUUCAAGGUCCUG
rnacentral:lncRNA from 1 species